ACGCUCGACACCUACUGGAGGCAGCAGUGGGGAAUAUUGGGCAAUGGAGGCAACUCUGACCCAGCAACGCCGCGUGAAUGAUGAAGGUCUUCGGAUUGUAAAGUUCUGUGACGGGGGACGAACACAAUGACGGUACCCCGAUAGCAAGCCACGGCUAACUACGUGUCAGCAGCCGCGGUAAUCUGAGCGGGCUGGCAAGGC
rnacentral:rRNA from 1 species